rnacentral:lncRNA from 1 species
UAUAUUGAUUGGCUUAAUCGAAAUACAAUAUAAUGUAUGCUUAUAUACAGGGUCAAUGUGACCCCAUUCAAAAACUUCCAUGGUUAACUCAAUGUGAGAUUGCGCUCAUUCAAGCCCAUAUACACCCAUGACUUGACCCAAUCUCACCUUCUUUAGACUCAGACAGUCCAAUAUAAGUUAGCCUCUUAAGGUCCAAAUCUUCUAGACCUCAAAAAUGUGAAGGCUGACAGUCUUUCACCUUAAGGCCCAAACUAGCCCUAGAAUCUCCAUGAACACCUCAUGGGUCAUAGGCCUUAGCCUUUAUCUUGAUCCCCUG